UGGGCAGGAGCCUGGCGGGCCCUGGGUUCUCUAAGAGGUUCUUCUAGAAACAGACCCCUCAGAUGCUUCCUCUCAAUUCAGGUAAGAAGUUACUGUUAAGGCACUUGGGGAGUUUCCCUUCCAGCUUCAGAAAGGAAGCGCAGAUAUGUGAGUCAUCAGUGCAGCCCCCCCCCCUCCAGGCCUUAGUGGGCGACCUGAAGGUGGGGGACUCCGUAGAAGUGGACAAAGGCUGCUGCCACCACCAUGAUACUAAUUACCCGAUGUGACUGGUUCCAUGUGUCAACUUAAUAGGACCGAGCGCUCUGUAACUGGAGCAGCCUGGAGGCCAGCUCUGGGGCUGCACAGCCCAGCCAUGAGGAAAAGCCGGCCCAGCUGCCCGCGUGUGGCCUUGACACAGCCCCUGGCACCGUUCUGAUGGCAACUGGCAGUGAGUCUCAAGGCUCAGAGCACAGGACUGGCCUGCAGGGAGCAGACACUCAUCCCAAGAUCCCACUGCUGCUGAGUUCCAUCCGGAGCCUGUCAGAGAGCAGCCGCUGCCGUAGCCGGGCCUCAUCUGAGUGUGCGCCAGCUUCACGCAGAGCACAAGGCAUGUCUGCAGGUGUCACAGAGCGUUCCCCUAACCAGGAAUGGCCUUCAGCGUGGAAAAGACGGUCUUUAGUGAAAGAGACCUCUCCAGAGACCUCAGCCAGACAUGCAAAGACUAUCGAGUUAUUCCAGGAUCCAAGAUCACAUCUGCAGACUUUGUAACAGCCAGAGUCAAUGGCUUAAGGUGUGUAUUUAAACUCCAAUCUCUUCUCUUAGACGCAGCGUCAUAGACAAUAUGUGAGCAAAUAGGUGUGGCUGUAUUCCCAUAAAGCAGUAUUUGUAGACAC